CGCCGGAGCCUGCCUAUGAUUGUUCCCAGUUUCCUCAGAUUGUUUCUGGUUUAGCGAGUGUGCUGGGGCGGCCCUGCACAGAGGGGUGAGGCAGCCGGCCCGAGAGAGCCACAGACAUUUAGGAGAGCACGUAACUACCACCGCACUGCGGAAGAACUUUUGACAGCUACGCAAACACAUGCCCUUGAUCCUACCCGUCACAUCUUCUGGACGCUCACCAAUGCAACCAGAGGUUCAGCCGAAACUCAAACACCCCCCUCCGGUACGUCCAAAACAUCCUCAUGCAAAACAGCUGUGGGAACCUCAAUAAAUGAAAGCACGAUUCUCAACCA